rnacentral:tRNA from 1 species
GGGCCGGUAGCUCAGCUUGGUUAAGCGAAGUCGUAUGGCGACCGAAAGGUCAUGGGUUCAAAUCCCACCCGGCCCACCA